AACCUGCGGAAGGAUCAUUGUCGUGACCCUAACAAAAACUGACCGUGAACAUGUCAUCCAUGCAGCUGAGUCUCGGGACCUGCUCCCGUCUCUCGGUAUAGGUUGCUGAUCUUCUUGAGGAGUCAGCAGCCGCCAAAGAACCAACGGCGCCGUAUGGCGUCAAGGAACACUAAUAUUGCCUUGCUUGGGGACACGUCUGGCUUGCCAGACGCACCCUGCGCAGCGAUGCUCUGAUAAUCCACAUGACUCUCGGCAACGGAUAUCUCGGCUCUCGCAUCGAUGAAGAACGUAGCAAAAUGCGAUACCUGGUGUGAAUUGCAGAAUCCCGUGAACCAUCGAGUAUUUGAACGCAAGUUGCGCCCGAGGCCUUCAGGCUGAGGGCACGUCUGCCUGGGCGUCACGCCAAAACAAACUCCCCACCCACACAGGUGUGGACGUGGUGUUUGGCCCCUCGUGCCGAAGGGUGCGGUGAGCCAAAGUAGGGGCUGCCGGCGGUGCCGAUCACAGCACAAGGUGGAUGACUUAUGUUGUUCUCGGUGCUAUGAUUUGGGCCUCUUCCGGUGUUGAUAUGGCCCUCUGGAUCCAUGGACCGAAGUGGUAGACACUCGGACCGCGACCCCAGGUCAGUCGGGAUUACCCGCUGAAUUUAA
rnacentral:rRNA from 1 species